rnacentral:rRNA from 1 species
GAUCCUGGCUCAGGAUGAACGCUGGCGGCGUGCUUAACACAUUCAAGUCGUACGAACUGAUUUUGAAGCUUGCUUCGGAAGAAAGUUAGUGGCGGACGGGUGAGUAACGCGUGAGCAACCUGCCUUUGUGAGGGGGAUAACACAGGGAAACUUGUGCUAAUACCGCAUGACGCAUACGAAAGACAUCUUUUGUAUGUUAAAGGAGCAAUCCGCACAAAGAUGGGCUCGCGUCUGAUUAGA